rnacentral:rRNA from 1 species
AGCGAACGCUGGCGGCAGGCCUGACACAUGCAAGUCGAACGGAUCCUUCGGGAUUAGUGGCGGACGGGUGAGUAACACGUGGGAACGUGCCCUUUGGUUCGGAACAACUCAGGGAAACUUGAGCUAAUACCGGAUGUGCCCUUCGGGGGAAAGAUUUAUCGCCAUUGGAGCGGCCCGCGUCUGAUUAGCUAGUUGGUGAGGUAAAGGCUCACCAAGGCGACGAUCAGUAGCUGGUCUGAGAGGAUGAUCAGCCACAUUGGGACUGAGACACGGCCCAAACCCGUACGGGGGACGGCGGUGGGGAAUCUUGCGCAAUGGGCGAAAGCCUGACGCAGCCAUGCCGCGUGAAUGAUGAAGGUCUGAGGAUUGUAAAAUUCUUUCACCGGGGACGAUAAUGACGGUACCCGGAGAAGAAGCCCCGGCAAACUUCGUGCCAGCCGCCGCCGUAA